GGGGUUGUAAUGGUUUCGACGGGGAUUUUGAAACUCGAGCAGCUAUCCGUGGCUCUGGGACCACGUAAAAACCUGGAUUAAAUAUAAACGCUGAAGAUAAUUUAGCAUUAGCUGCCUAAGGGCGGCUUGUCAAUCCUAGGCUUCCUGCGACUUGGGAAUUGGCAUCAAACUUGCAGGGCACCUUAUUUACAAAGCUUUGCGUAAGUAAGAGAUUUAUGAAGCUACUAAAGUCAGCAGGGUGUUAGUUCUCGGCUGAUAGAGGGAAUGUCAAAAAACUGACUGUGAUAGGAGAUACUGGAGUGGACGGAUUUUCGGACGCGGGUUCAACUCCCGCCAGCUCCACUA
rfam:Clostridium sp. CAG:411 genomic scaffold, scf261